rnacentral:rRNA from 1 species
AUGCAGGUGUUCUGGCCCAACUUCUUAUUUUUCCUUCUUUGUGGUCUGUCUGCUGCAGUGACUGACAUCGACGCCAAGUGCGGCAAUGCCUCUUCAAAUGAUUGGGAGGGCGAGUUCUUCCCGGGCUUUACCAAGAUCAACUAUGAGUUUAACAUUUGUCCUUCAAAAAAUGUACUGCAUGGUCCAACUAGGAAGAGGAUGCUUUCUUACAAGUGGUAUAACGCGGAGGAAGUGAUUCUUGUAAAGAAAAUGUUGCGGUUCAGUGUGGCAUUCUUGCAUAUGUUUCGGGGUACUGGAGGAGAUCCUUUUGGUGCACCUACAAAGAACUGGCCUUGGGAGGAUGGCACAAAUUCCCUGGCCAUGGCUAAGAGAAGAAGUCCAUGGCUGGAAUCAACAACUUAUGCUUCGAUUUCUAUUUCGGUGAUAUCUCAAUUCGAGUUCAUGAAGAAGCUUGGAGUUGACAGGUGGUGCUUCCAUGAGAGGGACAUCGCCCCUGAUGGCAAAACACUCGUGUUUUGGAAUAAUUAUCUUUCGUGCUUACUGGAAGGUAGAAAUAUGGUUGACGAUACACACCCAUUGGCAAAGUUUGAACCAGAGACAAAAUUGUCUCCUCUCUUUAGUUUAGAAUAUCUGAUUUUGUAUUCUUUUUCCAUUGGUGUGUACCUUAUGGUUAUUUUACUUGUAUAA